rnacentral:tRNA from 2 species
GCGAAGGUGGCGGAAUUGGUAGACGCGCUAGCUUCAGGCGUUAGUGUUCUUACGGACGUGGGGGUUCAAGUCCCCCCCCUCGCACCA